rnacentral:lncRNA from 1 species
GAUUAACUCCUAAACACCAAAAAAGAAUCCCUAUUUCAGAGAUUAACCAAGAACGAUUAACAAUAGACAAAACCGUUACUCACGAACACAUACAACCAACUAUAAAUAACCAAAUCAAUUGGAAAGUAAAGAAAGAAAUGGAAAAGGAAAAAAUAAUGGAAAUUUCGGCAGCAACUAAAGGAAAGAAUCGGCAGAGGAGAGAAAAAAAAAGAAAACAUCAGAAAAAGUUUGGGUAAUUGGAGAGAAAAUCGAAACUCUACUUUUUUUCUGCAAUAAAAAGAUAAUCAGAUUAUUUUCUAAUAACCUCCCCCCCAUUAUCUCCUAAAAUCACCCCCUAUUAACCCACUAAAACACAACUCUUAGCCGAAAUUUGAGAAAAAAUACUAUCUCCA